AAAAAAGCAAAUAAGAGCGAAUGGCGGAUGCCUUGGCUCAAGGAGGCGAUGAAGGACGUGAUAAGCUGCGAUAAGUCCGGUGUAGGUGCAAAUAACCUUCGAUCCCGGAAUUUCCGAAUGGGGCAACCCGGUAUGGUGAAGCCAUAUCACUCCGCUAUGCGGAGAGCAAACGAGGGGAACUGAAACAUCUAAGUACCCUCAGGAAGAGAAAACAAAAGUGAUUGCGCAAGUAGUGGCGAGCGAACGCGCACCAGCCCAAACCAAUGAUGUAGCGAUGCAUGAUUGGGGUUGUAGGACUGCGAUAUUUGGAUUAAAUCAGAAUUGGAAGAUGUCUGGAAAGUCAUAUCAUAGAGGGUGAUAAUCCCGUACAGGUAACGAUUUAAUUUGAUAGCAGUAUCCUGAGUAGCACGGAGCACGAGAAAUUCUGUGUGAAUCUGCGGGGCCCAUCCCGUAAGGCUAAAUACUCCCUUGAGACCGAUAGUGAACGAGUACUGUGAAGGAAAGGUGAAAAGCACUUCGAAUAGAAGAGUGAAAUAGUUCCUGAAACCGUUCGCUUACAAGCGGUCGGAGCCCCCCUGUGGGGUGACGGCGUGCCUUUUGCAUAAUGAACCUACGAGUUACUUUUACUGGCAAGGUUAAGCACUUCAGGUGCGGAGCCGAAGCGAAAGCGAGUCUUAACAGGGCGCGUGAGUCAGUAUGAGUAGACGCGAAACCAAGUGAUCUACCCUUGUGCAGGUUGAAGGUUGGGUAACACUAACUGAAGGACCGAACCGGUAAACGUUGAAAAGUUUUCGGAUGACGUGAGGGUAGGGGUGAAAGGCUAAUCAAACUUGGAGAUAGCUCGUACUCCCCGAAAUGCAUUUAGGUGCAGCGUGUAGUUAAGUUUAUAACAGGUAGAGCGACUGAUUGGAUGCGAGGGCUUCACCGCCUAUCAAGUCCUGAUAAACUCCGAAUGGUUAUAAAUGUUGCUAUGCAGUGAGGGCGCGGGUGCUAAGGUCCGUGUCCGAGAGGAGAAUAAUCCAGACCAUCAGCUAAGGUCCCCAAAUAUACAUUAAGUUGCAUUAACGAAGUCGAACUGCCCAGACAGCUAGGAUGUUGGCUUGGAAGCAGCCAUUCAUUUAAAGAGUGCGUAACAGCUCACUAGUCGAGCGGUUUGGCGUGGAUAAUAAUCGGGCAUAAAUGUAUUACCGAAGCUAUGGAAUCAUAUUUAGUAUGAUUGGUAGGGGAGCAUUCCUGUCAGCGUUGAAGGUGCAAGGACAACUUGUGCUGGAGCGUCAGGAAAAGCAAAUGUAGGUAUAAGUAACGAUAAGGAGGGCGAGAAACCCUCCCGCCGGAAGACUAAGGUUUCCUGAUCAACGCUAAUCGGAUCAGGGUUAGUCGGGUCCUAAGCAGCAGCCGAAGGGCGAAUGCGAUGGAUGAACAGGUUAAUAUUCCUGUACUACGUAAUAGAGAGAAGUGGUGACGAAGCAGUGACAGUCCUGCCUCCUGACGGAAUAGGAGGUUAAAGGGUGUAGGUAUAUGGAAUGCAGGCAAAUCCACAUUUCAUGCCGAACCUGAUAGUACCGUGCGUACUUGUACAAUCGGAUAAUGGAUGUAAUCAGACUUCCAAGAAAAACCGCUAUCGUUAAUUUAUUAUGUACCCGUACUACAAACGGACACACGUGGUCAAGUAUAGUGUACUAAGGCGCUCGAGUGAUUCACAGCUAAGGAACUAGGCAAAAUAACCCCGUAACUUCGGGAGAAGGGGUGCUCCAUGUAAUAGUGGAGCCGCAGAGAAAUGGCCCAGGCGACUGUUUAUCAAAAACAUAGGGCUUUGCAAAAUCGCGAGAUGAAGUAUAAGGCCUGACACCUGCCCGGUGCUGGAAGGUUAAGAGGAGAGGUCAUCGCAAGAGAAGCUUUGAAUUGAAGCCCCAGUAAACGGCGGCCGUAACUAUAACGGUCCUAAGGUAGCGAAAUUCCUUGUCGGGUAAGUUCCGACCUGCACGAAUGGUGUAACGAUCUGGGCACUGUCUCAGCUGUGAGC
rnacentral:rRNA from 1 species